GCUUCCUUAGCUCAGUUGGUAGAGCAACUGACUCUUAAUCAGUGGGUCGACGGUUCGAGUCCGUCAGGAAGCA
rnacentral:tRNA from 1 species